rnacentral:rRNA from 1 species
UACGUAGGGGGCAAGCGUUGUCCGGAUUUAUUGGGCGUAAAGAGCGUGUAGGCGGCCAGACAGGUCAGCUGUGAAAACUCGAGGCUCAACCUCGAGACGCCGGUGGAAACCGUUUGGCUAGAGUCCGGAAGAGGAGAGUGGAAUUCCUGGUGUAGCGGUGAAAUGCGCAGAUAUCAGGAAGAACACCCGUGGCUAAGGCGGCUCUCUAGUACGGUACUGACGCUGAGACGCGAAAGCGUGGGGAGCGAACAGG